GUCACUAAUUAACUCUGUCAUGGAUAGUAAGUUUUAUGCAAAAAUAUGAAAAUUAAUAAUUAGAAAAUCCCAGGAUUAAAAGUAUGUCUACUUGUCCUGGUUUAUCAAAGGAAUUAUAACUAAAAAUACAAACUUAGGUAGAGAACAUUUUACAUCUUGACAAAACACGAGGGCAAUAGUGUGACGGCGAUAAAAGAUGAUUUGCCUCUCACUGUACGCGCUCAUCGCCUCUGCCACAUUCCUCGCGUGCGUUCCCGUUUGUUACCGACAAUUUGAAAUGCAAAAAUUCAUCAAGUGCCUGAAAAAAUAGGGAUUCUCUAACGACAUGCUCAUAUGUAUGACAUGCGUGACAGCCUUCAUCGCAGCUGGUUGCAUUUCCUGUGGCCCUCUACUAUUGGAUACUUGCCUUAGCCGAUCGAAAUGUGGACAUAGAUUAUUUUCUUUAACAAAAUGUAAAAGUGCAUGUAGCGGUAAUUAAUGUAAUACUUAAAAUUGUAUAUUUACAAUGUUUAACAUAAUAUUUAAUUUGUAUUAAUAAAUCAUUUCAACAUUAAAUAA